AUGGCUGGGCAUCAUUAUCACAAUUCCCAGAUGUCAAGAAUGGAUCGUACGAACCAGCCACGUAAUGAACCUCCGCCUUUUGGUCAAAAGUUAUUUAUGCAUCCUAGAGGUGAUGCACCUAAUGGAGCGGGGCCAUCAGGUUAUGGGGUUACAACUGUGAGAUCUAAUGAGCUUCCAUCCUCAAGCUACGCCGGUCAGUCUUAUGGUCAGCAGAUUGGAGCCCCUGGAACCUUGCAUUCUUCCCAUGCUGGUUAUCCUCCUGCUGGAAGCUCUAGUAGCAGCUAUGCACCAUACAAUACUCAACAUGUGCCUUCUUUAAGCUAUCCACGUAGAUCUGAGGAUAGUUUUAUUCCUGGAGUCCAUGUGGAUGACAGAAGGGUUGCACCGAAGCGGAGAAAUCCCAUCACUCAUCCUGUGGAUGGUGUCAGUGCUGGAGCCUAUUAUCCUGGCAGUUCUUCCAAUAAUCAGUUCUCUGGUUACAUGCCCCUGAAUCCUGUUCCUACUCGUGAAACCUGCCCUCCACAAAUAAGUUCAAACAUGGGUUCCGGCCACUGGAACGAUCAUCAGUUUGUUAAUCAUGAAGGAUCUCAGAGGAAUGUGAGGGGACGCCAUGAUCAUAGUUCUAUCCAUUCGGAAUAUAAUUCAUCUACAGCUUGCCCAUCAAACAGUCUUCAUGUGCCACCAUACCAUCCAAAUGCAAAUGCUCCUUUUGGAAGUGCACCAGUACAGCGGGAAAGAGCUCCUUUAUCUCUACCUCCCAGAAUUGUUCCCCCAGGGACAGAUGGAAGCACUGGCAUAGCAUUCAGAGAGAGGCCAUUCUAUCCUGCUCCACAGAGCACCAACAUAAGUGCUCCUGUGCCAACACUUCCUGGUUCUUCUGACGGUGCACCAUUUGCACGCAUUGGAUACACUCCUAGACCAGUUCAUCAUAACGCUGGCCACAAUUAUCCACCGCCAGCUUUUACAACUUCUUCCAACUCUGGAGCAGUUCGGUGUGAGCCUGCUAACCCUCACUAUCAACCUGCCAUGCCCAGCUAUCCUCCUGCUACUGCUGCAGCAUCAAGUGUCCAGCCAUUACAUGCUGAAGCAUCUUUUAGACAGCCAAGGCACGUCUCUGUAGGGCAUGGUGGUAGUGCAAGGAGUAGAAGGAUGAGGGAUUCCUAUCAUUGUUUUCAUCCUUUGAUGAUUGAGGAGAAUAACCUAGGAAGAUCGGCUGCUGAGCGUUCUAUGAUGCUGGACCAGUUGGUCAUCCACGAAUCUAGAGAAGCAUUAGAUCCUCACUGGGACAUGAGACUGGACAUUGAUGACAUGAGCUAUGAGGAGCUCCUGGCGUUGGAAGAACGAAUUGGCAAUGUAAACACUGGCCUGGCUGACGAAAAAAUCUCAGGCUGCGUGAUGGAGCUAGCCUGUCGUAGUUCUGCCCGUACACAGAAUGAUCAAGACAAGGAAAGAUGCAUAAUUUGCCUGGAGGAAUACAAGCACAAGGACUCACUUGGGAAACUGAAAUGUGGGCAUGACUUCCACGCGGGCUGCAUCAAGAAGUGGCUGGAGGUGAAGAACGCCUGCCCGGUUUGUAAAGCCGAUGCCGCAAAUGAAGCCACCUGA
rnacentral:rRNA from 1 species